rnacentral:rRNA from 1 species
UACAGAGGGUGCAAGCGUUGUUCGGAAUUAUUGGGCGUAAAGCGCGUGUAGGCGGUUAGAUAAGUCGGGUGUGAAAGCCCUCAGCUCAACUGAGGAAGAGCGCCCGAAACUGUUUAACUUGAGUACCGGAGAGGAUGGCGGAAUUCCCCAAGUAGAGGUGAAAUUCGUAGAUAUGGGGGAGGAACACCGGUGGCGAAGGCGGCCAUCUGGACGGAUACUGACGCUGAGACGCGAAAGCGUGGGUAGCAAACAGG